rnacentral:rRNA from 1 species
GAAAAGAAACUAACAAGGAUUCCCCUAGUAACGCCGAGUGAAGCGGGAAGAGCUCAAAUUUGAAAUCUGGUAGCCUUCGGUUGCCCGAGUUGUAAUCUAGAGAAAUGUUUUCCGUGCCGGCCCAUGUACAAGUCCCUUGGAACAGGGCGUCAUAGAGGGUGAGAAUCCCGUCCUUGACAUGGACCCCCGGAUGCUUUGUGAUACAUUUUCAACGAGAUCGAGUUGUUUGGGAAUGCAGCUCAAAAUGGGUGGUGAAUUCCAUCUAAAGCUAAAUAUUGGCGAGAGACCGAUAGCGAACAAGUACCGUGAGGGAAAGAUGAAAAGCACUUUGGAAAGAGAGUUAAACAGUACGUGAAAUUGUUGAAAGGGAAACGAUUGAAGUCAGUCAUGCUCUUUGGUAUUUAUAUCAUUGAGUGGGGUCAACAUCAGUUUUGAUCGAUGGAUAAAGGUACUAGGAAGGUAGCACUCUCGGGUGAACUUAUAGCCUAGCGUCAUAUACAUUGAUUGGGACUGAGGAACGCAGCAUGCCUUUAUGGCCGGGAUUCGUCCACGUACAUGCUUAGGAUGUUGACAUAAUGGCUUUAAACGACCCGCU